CUGGGUUUGACAUAUAGGGAAAUCUCCCAGAGAUGGGAGGUCCGUAAGGGCUCUAUACAGGUGGUGCAUGGCUGUCGUCAGCUCGUGUCGUGAGAUGUUGGGUUAAGUCCCGCAACGAGCGCAACCCUCGUCUUAUGUUGCCAGCACGUAAUGGUGGGGACUCAUAAGAGACUGCCGGGGUCAACUCGGAGGAAGGUGGGGAUGACGUCAAGUCAUCAUGCCCCUUAUGUCCAGGGCUUCACGCAUGCUACAAUGGCCGGUACAAAGGGCUGCGAAAUCGCAAGAUGGAGCGAAUCCCAAAAAGCCGGUCUCAGUUCGGAUUGGGGUCUGCAACUCGACCCCAUGAAGUCGGAGUCGCUAGUAAUCGCAGAUCAGCAACGCUGCGGUGAAUACGUUCCCGGGCCUUGUACACACCGCCCGUCACGUCACGAAAGUCGGCAACACCCGAAGCCGGUGGCCCAACCCUUGUGGAGGGAGCCGUCGAAGGUGGGGCUGGCGAUUGGGACG
rnacentral:rRNA from 1 species